AGAGUUUGAUCAUGGCUCAGGAUGAACGCUGGCGGCGUGCUUAACACAUGCAAGUCGAACGGGAAACAUUUUAAUGAAGCUUCGGCGGAUUUAGCUUGUUUCUAGUGGCGGACGGGUGAGUAACGCGUGGGUAACCUGCCUCACACUGGGGGAUAACAGUUAGAAAUGACUGCUAAUACCGCAUAAGCGCACGGAACCGCAUGGUUUUGUGUGAAAAACUCCGGUGGUGUGAGAUGGACCUGCGUUGGAUUAGCCAGUUGGCAGGGUAACGGCCUACCAAAGCGACGAUCCAUAGCCGGCCUGAGAGGGUGGACGGCCACAUUGGGACUGAGACACGGCCCAG
rnacentral:rRNA from 1 species